GUUCCAAGAAGAUGAAAUCAAUUUUCGUUUGAAUUGAUUCUUCCCAUCCAUGUUCAAGAUUUCUUUCCAGAUUUGAAAAGCCUGCUGUAAUCGCUCAGUUUCCUAGAAGUAGACUCUGAGAAGAAGAGUGGCAGGCAGGCAAUUUAUGGGGAUGUGCUCUUGGGAUCUACACCAGUGAGUGGAGUGAGAGAAGCAAGAUCGAGCAGGAGGAGUUGCUGGGCAGGAAUACAGAUCCAACAGACGCCUCAGCUGCUUCCUACGGAGAGCUCUAGAGUGGGUACUACCUUCAGAGUUCCUGAAUUGAGAUGAUGUGCCUGCUUGCACUGGAAUUUCUUCUAUAAGUAAAAGCUUCCUGAGGCCUUCCCAGAACCUGAGCAGAUGUUGUACAGCCUGCAGAACUAAUGGCUGUGAGAGAAAAUUCAGAAGUAUCCUUGGAAGCAUUUUGCUAAUUUUGAGAUGCUGGGUACAUCCUCAAAAUGAAAAACUUUUGUGCCUCAAAGAACACCAUCAAGAAAUCAAGAAAUUGAAAAGAAAACCCAGGGAGACAAUAUUUACAAAUCUUAUAUCUGAUACAAUAUGGAACAUAUAUAUAUAAUAUAAAGAAUUCUUAUAACUUAAAAAUCAAAGUAAAAAUAACCAAUUUUAAAAUAUCUGAAUAAUGUUUCUUUAAAGAAGAUAUAUAAAUGGCCAAUAAGCUCAUAGAAACAUGAUUGAUAUCAUGAAUCCUCAGGGAAAGCCAAAUCCAAACCACAAUGAAAUACCACUUUAUACCCACUAAGAUGGCUACAAUCAAAAGCCAGGUAAUAACAAGCAUUGGCAAGGAUGUGGAGCAACCAGAACCUUCAUACAAUGGUGAUGGGGAUGUAUAAUUGUGCAGUCACUUUUAAAACCCAGUCUUCAUCAUUGAUAUUGUUUGGCUGUGUCCCCACCCAAAUCUCAUCUUGAAUUGUACUCCCAUAAUUCCCACGUAUUGUAGGAGGGACCCAAUGGAUAUAAUUUGAAUCAUGGUGGUGGAUUCCCCCAUACUGUUCUUACAGUAAUGAAUAAGUCUCAUGAGAUCUGAUAAUUUUGUCAGGGGUUUCUGCUUUUGCAUCUUCCUCAUUUUUUUUUGCCACCACCAUGUAAAAUGUGCCUUUCACCUCCUGCCAUAAUUCUGAGGCCUCCCCAUCCAUGUGGAACUGUAAGUUCAAGUAAACCUCUUUUUCUUCCCAGUCUCGGGUAUGUCUUUAUCAGCAGCAUGAAAUGGAGUAAUACAGAAAAUUGGUACUAGUAGAAUGAGGCAUUGCUGAAAAGACACCUGAAAAUGUGGAAGCAACUUUAGAACUGGGUAACGAGCAGAGGUUGGAACAGUUUGGAGGGCUCAGAAGAAAACAGAAAAAUGUGGGAACAUUUGGAACCUCCUCGAGACUUGUUGAAGAUAUGGACAAUAAAUCCAGGCUGAGGUGGUCUCAGAUGGAGAUGAGGAACUUGUUGGGAACUGGGGCAAAGCUGACUCUUGUUAUGUUUUAGCAAAAAGAGUGGCAGCAUUUUGUUCCUGCCCUAGAGAUCUGUGGAACUUUAAACUUGAGAGAGAUGAUUUAGGGUAUCUGGCAGAAGAAAUUUCUAAGCAGCAAAGCCUUCAAGAAGUGACUUGGGUGCUGUUAAAAACAUUCAGUUUUAGUAUCCUAGCAGGGCAAUAGAAAAGUAAAACCCCUUUUUCUGAGGAGAUAGUCAAGCUGCCUGCAGAUAUUUGUCUAAGUAACAAGGAGCUG
ensembl:lncRNA